rnacentral:rRNA from 1 species
GAUGAACGCUGGCGGCGUGCCUAAUACAUGCAAGUCGAGCGAACAGACGAGGAGCUUGCUCCUCUGACGUUAGCGGCGGACGGGUGAGUAACACGUGGAUAACCUACCUAUAAGACUGGGAUAACUUCGGGAAACCGGAGCUAAUACCGGAUAAUAUAUUGAACCGCAUGGUUCAAUAGUGAAAGACGGUUUUGCUGUCACUUAUAGAUGGAUCCGCGCCGCAUUAGCUAGUUGGUAAGGUAACGGCUUACCAAGGCAACGAUGCGUAGCCGACCUGAGAGGGUGAUCAGCCACACUGGAACUGAGACGCGCUCCAGACUCCUAAGGGAGGCAGCAGAAGGGAAUCUUCCGCAAUGGGCGAAAGCCUGACAGAGCAACGCCGCGUGAGUGAUGAAGGUCUUCGGAUCGUAAAACUCUGUUAUUAGGGAAGAACAAAUGUGUAAGUAACUAUGCACGUCUUGACGGUACCUAAUCAGAAAGCCACGGCUAACUACGUG